AGCAGAAGAAAAGGAAAAGAGGAAGUUAGUCUCAAAUUCAGUCAUUCUAAUUGUGCAUGGAAACACUGUACUCAUGACAAUGAAAAGAACAAAAUGCAUUUUCAGAAUGAGUGUAUAUAUACUAUUACAUGAGAAAUUCUGCAUUAAGGCAACACUAAUUGCAAGUAUAAAAACACACAAGUCAAGAAAUAAAACUAGUUUUUCAUAACAUCAACUCAAUGAUACCAUAUUAUACUCACCAGCAGCAGUUACUAUAAUGUUGCAAAACAGUUUCAAUUAUUAUUUGUUUUCACACAUCUUUCUGAAAUGUUCAUUUUUAGGGUUGACUUUUUCCAUCAAUGGUCUAUGCCUACUUUUUUUUUUUUUUUUUUUUUUCAGGCAUAGAAGUUCAAGCAACUCGCCUCCCAAUCAAAGGGGAGUGCAAAAAUAUUUUCUCAUUGUAAAACAACAAACCCAAACAGCCACUCUCUUCUCUUUUUUAAAAAAAAUGCCAGCAAAAAUCCCUAACAUUCUUUUGAACAAAACUACAACAAAAAUGUUUGAAAUCUGAAACUUGGUAUGGAUAUAAUUCUCAGGACUAGUUCCUUUGUUUGUUUAGCAGGAUGUAUUCUGAAAUUUAAGUGUAAGUGAAAGUAAAAGUUACUUACCUUUUUCAGUAACUGAAGUUCAUUUGAGAUGGUUUGUCCAUAUAUAUUCCAUUCUUGGUGUGCAUGCUCCCUAUGCAGGUGAGAUUGGUGUCUUGGCCAACAGUGUCUGUGGGGGCUGCGCCUGUGCCCUGCAUGUUCUCAUGCUCGCAUACGGAGGACAUAAAGGAUGGUGUGGGCCCAAUCAUCACUCAGAUCCUUCGCCACUUAGUUCCUUCACCACUGCAGAAUCCCAGUGCAAUAGGACUCCAUAGUAGUGGGAAACGAGGGUGGGUCAGGCAAUAUACAUAUGAAUAAUACAUCUUGAACUCCAGUUACCUGUAAAGGUAAGUAACUUUUCUUCUUUGAAUGCUUGUCCAUGUAUAUUCCAUUCUUGUUGACUUCCAAGUAGUGAUCUGAUGCAUGGAGGUGGGUGCUCAUAGUCCAUUUAAAUAAAGAUUGCAGCACAGCUCUGCCAAAGGAAGCAUGAGAACUCAAUGCUUCCACUAUGAAGUAAUGCUUGGUAAAAUUAUGUACUAAAUCCCAAGUAGCUGCCUUAAAGAUGUCCAAAGUGAGAAUGCUUUACAAGGAAGCAACAGAGGCUGGCUGUGCCCUAGUAGAGUGGGCUCUAAUAUAAUUGGGGGUUCUAAACUAGUUAACAAAGCUUAAUACACCCUGAAACCCAUACACUAGCCUGAAAUCAGUUGACCUUUUCAUUCUUUCAGCUAAUUCUAUAAAUUAUUUGGGAAAGUUCUGAAGGACUUGGUCCUUUGAAAGCAAAAUGCUGAGGCCAUGCAAACGUGUAAAGUGUGCAACCUAGACCCUCCUUGAUUAAAAUGCAGUUUGGGAAAUAAUUCUGGCAGACAGAUCAUUUGAUUCAAAUGGAAGUCUGAAACUACAUUGGGUUGGAACUCAGGAACUCUUUUGAUACCAGGUGUAUGAAUCCUAAGACAGUAAAGUGUGAUUUGGAAAUUUUUCCACAGGUGGAGCAUAUUGGCAGUCUUAAAGCUAAGAUGGUCUGAGCCCUCAGAAAGAAGAUUCUCUACAGUUGUCUGCCAGAACUUUGGAGCCAGGGUGCCCAUUCCAUAAUUUCUGGUGUUGCUGUGGAUUGUAAAGCAGGGUCAGAAGCGCCUAGAGAUCCAACUGAUAAUCCAGGAUGACUGAAACUGACACAGAUUCAAGCAGAAGGCAGCAACAACACAAAUGGAAGAGUCUCCUCCAUUUCUGCAGAGGUGGUCUCUGCAUUUUCCCAGCUCUGGCAAUAUGGCAAGCAGUACAAACCCAGAAAGACAGGCUGAGCAACCAUAAUUAAGCAAGGAUUGCAAAGUAAGUAUUGUAUCUAAGUGCCAAGUCAAGAACAUAGUACUGCAUAAAGGUGUAAACAGAACUCCA